AUUCAUAUGUCUGCCUCUUCUUCUAGACUACACUGAAGGCUGGUUACGCUCUUAUGUGCAAUAGAACCUCAAACACAUCGUAACACACCUUUGGAGAAUCCUUACAAGAACACCAAGUUAACAGUUAUCUCUGACCACACUACCUCAGCAAAAAACCAGGAAGAAAAAAUAUUCUUCAACCCUUUUCAGGGACAGAAAGCAUCAUUUCAAAAGUCCAAGAAGGGAAGCAAAACUUCUGACCUGAGACAUCGAAGCAGAUAAAAAGCCGCUACACAAAAUGUAUCGCUACAACUAGAGGGCAGUCUUGCCUUUCUUCCAUUCAAUUAUUCAGUUUCUCAUGUUCCUAAGUGCCAGCCCAGAACCAUGGAAUGUGAAGAAACACAAAACUCACUCCUCUGCAUCAGUGAAUUGAUUGUGUGGUGGGGAUGUAAGUCUGCAUGUGACUGACAGUUCCCCAAAGUGGUGCCAAGUCAAUCUAAACUAGAGAGAAUUUCUGGCCAGGCCAAGCAGAGAUUUCAUGGAUGAAGUCUCCCAAAGACUGAUUUCCUAAACAUUAAACAUCACUGGUUUUCCAAAACUGGUUUUCUUUUUUUUUUUUUAACCCUGUUUCUCAGGCUGGAGGGCAAGUGGUGCCAUCUCCACUCACUGCAGCCUCGACCUCCCAGGCUCCACUGAUCUUCCCACCUCAGCCUCCUGAGUAGCUGGGACUACAGGUGUGCACCGCCACGACUCGCUAAUUUUUGUAUUUUUUGUAGAGACGGGGUUUUGCUGUGUUGCUCAGGCUGGUCACUCGAUCUGCCCACCUGGGUCUCGCAGAGUGCUGGGGUUACAGGUAUGAGCCACCACGCCCAGCCCACUGGUUUCCUUUACACCCGUUUUGUUCCCCAGCAGUCCUUAUGAGGGCACCUGAAAUAAGGAACCUCCUCCCCGACUUGAGAGCAGCAAAGCCUUCAGAGGGAACUAAGUUAUUAAAACCCACCCCACACAAAAUGCUUCUAAACGCCUUGGCUGACUUAAUCCUUGCAGUGUGCUGAGGUUAAGUAUGAUUAUCCAUCUCCUGUGAACAGGAAGACUGAGGCUCAGAGCUUAAGUGAUUUGCCCACGGUUCACUGCAGGGGAUAAAACUCGGCUGUCCCUGGCAGGUCCCAAAGUCACGGCCUUCAGGCUCCCACACCAUGCUGCCUCCCUCACCGGGGCUCCACACUCUCAGCCUGGAAAACACUAAUUUUAAGAAAACCAUGACUUACGAAAAGCAGCCAAUCCCAGCAUUGGAACCAACAGGGCAUAAUUCCACCUGCUUCCAUCACCACCAUCCGCCCUGGAAUUAGGCCGGAUAUUCCAAUUUGGGGGAUCAUUUAGGUUAUUCAUGGAGAUAUACCUUGAAGUAAAGAAUAAAAACGUUAACUACUUUUAUUCAAGAAAUUUUUCUUCAGUUUUAACUAUGUGCUUGCUGCACAGCACUGAGGCCCUACGGGAUUCAAAGAAGAAAAAAACUAGACCAGAGCCGGGCAUGGUGGCGGGCACCUGUAGUCCCAGCUACUCGGGAGGCUGAGGCAGGAGAAUCGCUUGAACCUGGGAGGUGAAGGUUGCAGUGAGUCGAGGUCGCGCCACUGCACUCCAGCCUGGUGACAGAACGAGACUCCGUCUCAAAAAAAAAGAAAAAGAAAAAGGAAAAAAAAACAAGACCUUAGGUGAAAGCGACUCACAAUCUGGUUGGGGAAAGUGGAGAAAACAGACAUGUCUUAAGCAUCUGAAGUGCAGGUAGAAUCAGGUAAGUUCUCUGGUACAAAUAUAUUUAAAUGUAUGGCUGCUGCGAUGGUUAAUUUUGUUUGUCAACUUGACGGCAUCAUGAGGUGCUCAGAUACAUGGUUAAGCAUUAUUUCUGGGCGUGUCUGUAAGGGUGUUUUUGGAUGAGAUUAGCAAUUGAACCUUUAAACCAAUUUCUUACGUCUCCCUUCUAUUUGUUGUGUCUCUG
rnacentral:lncRNA from 1 species